rnacentral:lncRNA from 1 species
GGAACAUUCUUAAUGACGUGACUUCCGCCUGUCACACGACUUCCAGGCGUUGCUUGUCGCGGAUGGAUCGGUUAUGUUGAUCGGUGCUCUGUUUGUCUUCCUCUUGUUAUGGAUCGCGAUGGUCUCUGCUAUUCUUCCCUUUUUGGGGUCCUCCUCCUUUGCUGGCAGUUUGGCGGCGUCCCAUUUUGCACUCAAGUCGGGCAUGGGCGCUCGUUGCGCUGGCGCUGUUGAUGGGCUCGCAGUUUCGAUGUCCUUUUUGUGUUCUCUUGGUCUCCUAUUCAAUGGUCUCGCUGUGUAUCCUGUAUGGGUGGCCUCUUGAUUGAGGGUGCCGUCUGCAGCUGGGAUUUCGUGCACUCCUGGAGGGAGGCACCGAUCCACCUUGUCUUUAUCAUUUCGUAAUGCAUUGGAUGCUGUGUUCCGUCUGUUGAAGACGAUUCUUGAUGCCGUGUAUUUCUCUAGCCUCCUUUUAAAUUUAAGCGUGAUUGGAUUGACCUCGGGGUUGUGAAGCUUUGUG